UAGGGAAUCUUCGGCAAUGGGGGCAACCCUGACCGAGCAACGCCGCGUGAGUGAAGAAGGUUUUCGGAUCGUAAAGCUCUGUUGUAAGUCAAGAACGGGUGUGAGAGUGGAAAGUUCACACUGUGACGGUAGUUUACCAGAAAGGGACGGCUAACUACGUGCCAGCAGCCGCGGUAAUACGUAGGUCCCGAGCGUUGUCCGGAUUUAUUGGGCGUAAAGCGCGCGCAGGCGGUUUGAUAAGUCUGAAGUUAAAGGCUGUGGCUCAACCAUAGUUGGCUUUGGAAACUGUCAAGCUUGAGUGCAGAAGGGGAGAGUGGAAUUCCAUGUGUAGCGGUGAAAUGCGUAGAUAUAUGGAGGAACACCGGUGGCGAAAGCGGCUCUCUGGUCUGUAACUGACGCUGAGGCUCGAAAGCGUGGGGAGCGAACAGG
rnacentral:rRNA from 1 species